UGUAGGAGUGAGCCUGCUCGCGAUGGCGUCCUGUCAGCCAACAUAUGAGUUGAUUGACCGGACGCCAUCGCGAGCAGGCUCACUCCCACA
rnacentral:misc_RNA from 1 species